rnacentral:rRNA from 1 species
UACGUGAGGGUGCAAGCGUUUGUUCGGAAUUACUGGGCGUAAAGCGCGUGUAGGCGGUUCGCUAAGUUCGAUGUGAAAGCCCUGGGCUUAACCCAGGAACUGCAUUGAAAACUGGCGGACUUGAGUCCGGGAGAGGGUCGCGGAAUUCCUGGUGUAGAGGUGAAAUUCGUAGAUAUCAGGAGGAACACCGGUGGCGAAGGCGGCGACCUGGACCGGUACUGACGCUGAGACGCGAAAGCGUGGGGAGCAAACAGG